UUUAGAGUGAGAAAGAGAGAGUUUUAGAGAGAGAAAAAAGCAGUAAAGAAGGAGAAAAAGUAGGAGUUUAAGGAGCUUGACUAAGGAAUGCUAGAAGUUCUUUUCUUCCCUUCCAAAAGACUAAAUUGGCACAGUUAUGUGAUUCUGGGAGAAUUUGAAAAGUUUUGGAUAAAGGUAUGAAAAUGGCAGAAACCUGCACUAGUAGAUGCAUGCUCAUACAAGUGGUGAUGCACAUCAGUUUUGGAGUCUCCCUCUACACAAAAUUUUGAAGACAGAAAUCUGCAUGGGCAAGCGCAUGGUCAUAAGACUCAAAACUCUAUUGGAGAAGAGAUCAAGCUCAAGACGAAGACACAAUCCGAGUUUGAUUUUAUUUUACUAUGUUUCCUUUUAGUUUCAGUUUUUGUUUUCUCGAUUUAAUUAUGGAGUAAAUUUUUUUUGUUUAGGAAAACAUGAACCCUAAACUAUGAUGGGUAUUGAUUUUGAUUAAUGAUAUAUGAGUUAGUUUUAUGCAAAGUCAUUAAGUUUAAUGCUUGUAUGGAUAUUUUAUUGA